rfam:Pan troglodytes isolate Yerkes chimp pedigree #C0471 (Clint) chromosome 10, whole genome shotgun sequence.
AUCCUUUUGUAGCCCAUGAACAUGAUGAUUUAUUUGGGUUUUCACACACAUGUGAGAUGUGCCUCCUUCAAACCUUAAGACAUCAGCAUGUUACCUGACGUGAAA